rnacentral:rRNA from 1 species
CGGAUGAACGCUAGCGGCAGGCCUAACACAUGCAAGUCGAGGGGCAUCGCGGUGCAGCAAUGCACUGGCGGCGACCGGCGUACGGGUGCGUAACGCGUAUGCAACCUGCCCCGCACCGGGGGAUAGCCCGCCGAAAGGCGGAUUAAUACCCCAUGGUCCCGGGGGCCCGCAUGGGCAUCCGGGUAAAGCCUUGGCGGUGCGGGAUGGGCAUGCGUGCCAUUAGCUGGCUGGUGGGGUAACGGCCCACCAGGGCAACGAUGGCUAGGGGGUCUGAGAGGAUGGUCCCCCACACUGGUACUGAGACACGGACCAGACUCCUACGGGAGGCAGCAGUGAGGAAUAUUGGUCAAUGGGCGGAAGCCUGAACCAGCCAUGCCGCGUGGCGGGAUGAAGGCCCUACGGGUUGUAAACCGUCUUUCCCCGGGAAGAAUAACGCCCCCGCGGGGGGUGAUGCCGGUACCGGGGGAAUAAGGAUCGGCUAACUCCGUG